GUCAAUAUCAGAAGCGUUGAUGAAGCAAUAGUGAUUGAGAAGGGUGAGGAUAGUUUGGGAAACGAUCAGAAGGAAGAAGUUGUUGUGAGUGUGAAGAAGAAGAAGAAGAAGCCUGGGAGGAAGAGUAAGAAGGGUUUGGUGGGAAAUGGUGAUGGAGGUCUAAAGGAGGUUACUUUUGGUGGUGAUGAGAUUGCUAUGAUGACUUUGAGGAAGAGGCCUGAACGGAACAAGAGAGUUAGAGUUAUGGAGGUAGAGGGAAAUGGUGAGAAAGGUGAAGAGAAUGGUGCUUCUGUGAACAAGAAAGGUAGGAAAAAGGUGAAAUUUGCAAAGGAAGGGGGAGCGAAAGGUGUUUUAGAAGUGGAUAAUGACAAGAAGCGCGAUAGGAAGCGUGCGAAAACUGAGGAGGAAGAUGGGAAUGAGGUAGGCUAUUCGUUUAGGCCUCUGAGGGAGCAGGGACAUCUAUCAACGGAGGAGCGUAGAAAGGUGAGGGUUAUUAUGAUUCUCUGGUUAUGUUAUGUUGCUACCAUUGUGUUUUUUAUAUGUAGUUUCUGAUUUUGGAUUUAACAGUGAAUUGAGGAGGUACCCCUAAUGUGCCACCAAUGUCAGAGGAAUGAUAAGGGAAGGGUUGUUCGGUGCAAAAAGUGCAGGACAAAGUGAUAUUGUGUUCCUUGCAUAGAGAAUUGCUACUUGCAGAGAAGGUGAACUCCCUACAAGAUUUGGUUCUGCAACUCUUAUGAUACUUCUUUUACAGGAUAUAGCAGUCGUACCUCUCUUAGUCAUACUUCUGGUGCUGGAAAGCCAGAACAUAGCGGAGGACAGUAUAUGGCCAAUGCUUUAGAAGGAGGGUUUAAAAGCUCUAGGUGGGCUGGGGCUUCUUUCUCUUGGAGGAAAAUUAGUUCUUAGGCGAAUUUUUGAGUUUGUGGCAGAAGCAAGGAGCUCAGAGGCAUUUGUUGCCCUUUGCUUGCUGACGGUGGCGGGGACUUCACUUCUCACCCAGAAGUUGGGGUUCAGUGAUACGGUUUAUACGCAGAUACUGUAAGGCUUGGUGUGCUACCACUUGAGCUUAACAAGUUGCUCAUAAUUGUUGUUGUUCUGUCAUGGCAUUAACCCCAUUGCUUAACGAAGCUGGAAGAAGAGCUGCUGCAUUUAUUGAUGACAAUUUUGAAGCAGAGGAUGAAGCUCCUGAUGUGGUGAAUUUCAAUUCAAGUGACACUCUAUAUGCAUGGAAUGCAUGGCGUCAAGUGCAUUGGUAUGAGGUGCGCGUUGAAGUGGCCGACUACUUACAGACUUUGCUAUAGAUUCUGACUAGUUUCUUGAUUUUGAGUAAGGCUAGCUAGCUUUUGUUUAAACCUUUUUAUAGUAGAUGAAGUGAAUGUAGCAAUUAUGAACAAAAAUGCAAUAAUAAUUGGUAGGCUAGCCUUGUAGUAGGUGAAUUGGGGAUUUAUUUUGCCCAUUUUGUAAAUUGUUAAGGAUGAUGAUUUUAGAUAAAAUACCCCAAUAUUCAAAUCA